UUUGGUGACAAUGAUGAACUUCUAGACAUAGAGAUUAUAGACUUCUCUUCUUUUUUUCUAUUUUUUUGACAAAUGAUCUCCUGCCUCUUACUUAGGAUUUAGUGAACUUGGAGAAAAGAUAAAUCACAAUCUUGGAGCAUUUAUUUGGAAACCUAACAAUCUUUUUGGAUCUUCUCCUAGUGUAGGAGAUAGAUUUUGUGGUGGAAAGGCAUGUUUUUACGUACGCCCAUGGUAGGAGCAGCAGGAUAUAUGUGGGUGUAAGUGAUCUUGAUCUUGGGAGCAUGACCAUCCUCUCAACAAGGGUCUCAUGGGUUGACCAAACUCACUACAAAACAAGCAGCUUAUGAGCUGGUUUUCCUAUUCUAGCAAGCAUGUAUAUAUGGCUGUGGUAGAAAUUAAACCUCUCGUCAUACAGGAACUCAUCAUGUAGCAAAUUUUAAGUUUUUCAAAAGAUAAAUCUCUAGAACUCUAGUGUCACUAGGAACAAUAUAAAUAGUAGAUCAGACCUUCUCAUAUCAUAUUCGUCAAUCACCUAG
rnacentral:lncRNA from 1 species